AACGAACGCUGGCGGCAGGCUUAACACAUGCAAGUCGAGCGAGACCUUCGGGUCUAGCGGCGGCCGGGUGAGUAACGCGUGGGAACGUGCCCUUCUCUACGGAAUAGCCCCGGGAAACUGGGAGUAAUAGCGAAUACGCCCUUUGGGGGAAAGAUUUAUCGGAGAAGGUUCGGCCCGCGUUGGAUUAGGUAGUUGGUGGGGUAAUGGCCCACCAAGCCGACGAUCCAUAGCUGGUUUGAGAGGAAGGUCAGCCACACUGGGACUGAGACACGGCCCAGACUCCUACGGGAGGCAGCAGUGGGGAAUCGUAGACAAUGGGGGCAACGCUGAUCUAGCCAUGCCGCGUGAGUGAUGAAGGCCUUAGGGUUGUAAAGCUCUUUCAGCUGGGAAGAUAAUGACGGUACCAGCAGAAGAAGCCCCGGCUAACUCCGUG
rnacentral:rRNA from 1 species